rnacentral:tRNA from 1 species
CCACCUUGCCAAGGUGGGGGUCGCGGGUUCGAGUCCCGUCU